GCAGGAUGCAAGAACAUCUUAAAGAUCACCUGCCACACUUGUGUUUGAGGUGCUCAAUGGCUGUUUACACCAAGUGCCAUCUGGCUCUAUAGAUAUAAUAACAAUUAUUCCAUUGAGCAAUUUCGAGUGCAAGUGCCACAGUGUCAGCUAAAGAAACACAACUGCGGGUUUUCUGCAGAGCAAAAUGGUUCUGAAAUGUCACUGAAUAGCUCACAAAGGACGCCAAUCUACGACAACAGAGAUAUAAGCAUAUAGGAGAAAGGGUCCACACAUCCUCCUUUCAAAGGAAGCAACUGGGCAAAGGAAGUUGACUUCAAUCGGGCAAGAUCACAGUCAAGUUCAGCACUGCUUUCUGAUUCCAUAGACGUCUAAAUCUGGAAGUGACAGUGCAAACCUUACUUGUGUUAAGGAAGAAGACUUAUUGUACUUUAAACUAAAAAGAGAAACUAGUAAUUUG